GACGAACGCUGGCGGCGUGCCUAAUACAUGCAAGUAGAACGCUGAAGGAGGAGCUUGCUUCUCUGGAUGAGUUGCGAACGGGUGAGUAACGCGUAGGUAACCUGCCUGGUAGCGGGGGAUAACUAUUGGAAACGAUAGCUAAUACCGCAUAAUAGCAGUUGUUGCAUGACAACUGUUUGAAAGGUGCAAUUGCACCACUACCAGAUGGACCUGCGUUGUAUUAGCUAGUUGGUGGGGUAACGGCUCACCAAGGCGACGAUACAUAGCCGACCUGAGAGGGUGAUCGGCCACACUGGGACUGAGACACGGCCCAGACUCCUACGGGAGGCAGCAGUAGGGAAUCUUCGGCAAUGGACGGAAGUCUGACCGAGCAACGCCGCGUGAGUGAAGAAGGUUUUCGGAUCGUAAAGCUCUGUUGUAAGAGAAGAACGAGUGUGAGAGUGGAAAGUUCACACUGUGACGGUAUCUUACCAGAAAGGGACGGCUAACCACGUG
rnacentral:rRNA from 1 species